rnacentral:misc_RNA from 1 species
AAGCUCCUUGCCGGCCGGAACAUAUUAAUUCUUAUAAAAACACAAGUUUAUGUCAACUAUCUUUUAUUUUCAUAACACAUGUUCUAAUCACAGAUAACCUAACUGUAUUACUGAAUAGUUUUGCUUCCAAAUUACAUCUAAUCGAUCUAGUUACAUUUAGAGUAUUUUUGUAAAUGUACAUACAUAUAUAAAUUGUAACUGUUAAUUGCAAAUACAAUGUACUUAAUAACUUUUUCUGACAAAUCUGUAAUUUAUUAGUUACUGACUUAUGUGUACGAACACCUACGCUACGCAACUAAUGCAUAAAAUGGUGUAACAUUGUUCUCGGCUUGAAGUUCACAGGUGUAAGGAAGACAGCUGCAUUAUUAGGUGCAAGACCAACCCCUGGUGGAACUGAGGGAACAAGUGAUUCUGAUACUGGUACCAGAGGGAAUUUCAUAGCCAGAAAUUCCGGUGACGUCCCAUCUUCGGAACCAGGACAAAUCAUUUCUCUAAUUACAUCCCAAUACGAACCGUUCGAUCUAUUACGACCGGGUAACUUGGACGCUAAAGAACACUUCAGAUAUCUAUGUAUUUUAUUAUUGUACUCAUAUUUCAAUCGUAUCUUUAUAUACUUACUCUUAAACGUUCAAGAUAAGUCGUAUUAUUGUUAAAGUUGGUAGUGAAAUCAAUACCUCCUUCACUUCUAUAAUAUUCUAUGCAUCUUCUCUGAAAUAAUAGACAUAAAGAUGUAUUAAUUGUCUUGGCUGAAUUAUUAAUUGAAUAGAACUAUGUAAAUGUUUACAAUUUCUUCUAAUGUAUCUUGAGAAAGAAAGUGUUCUUGAGAUAAUGUAUAACUCAAAAGCAUUGGUCUUGGAUAUUCAUGAGGCCGAUUUUCUGGAGGUGGUAAAGACCAGAAAACAUUAAAAUUUGACUCAUAGCAACUGCCAUCUGUAUUAUAAGGAGCUGAAAUCCAUCAUUUUGAAUUCAUUGUACUUAAUCACAAGAUUUUAAACAAUAAAUAAUAUUUUGUCAAAGAAAACAUACAGCAUAUUAAACCUACGCAUGGUGUGUAACCGUUAUCACUAGGUCCUUUCAUUUUUAUUUGAUAAUCUAAUUGAGAAUCAACAUCCCUCAAGGAAGGAGAAGCAUGAGAUCUAGGAUGAGAAUGAUACCAUCCAACUAAAGUCACACGUUUCCAUUCCAUUGCCCUUGCAAUUUCAGCUUCAACUGCAGCUGCAGCUGAUUUAUCUUUACCAGAAUACCGGCAUGGAAAGGCAGUUGUUAUAGAUAGAUCUAUUAUAUUAGAAAAAGUAAGUUUUAGCAACAAAAUAUGUAUUUAAAUUAUAUUAAACAUUACAGAAAUAUUUACUGUGUGAAUUAAUAUCCCAAUGGCCACCUAAGUAGCCACAAACUUCUUUAUCUGUUAAAUGACAAUGCAAAUCUACUAACAAAGCUGCAGUAGUUGUUAUAGUAACUAAGAAAGGUUGUAUUUUGCCAAGUGUGCUAAAAGAUGUAAGCUCUACCAUUGUACUCAUAUCCCUGAAACAUAAGUAAUUAUUAGCAAUGUAAGAAAUUUUCUUGUCUUCUAUCAUUCUCUUAC